GGUAACGUGGCCGAGUGGUCUAAGGCGCUGGAUUUAAGUAUCGGUUGCUUAUAACCGUGAAUCCCAGUGGGGAUAACCCGCGUGAGUUCGAACCUCACCGUUACCA
rfam:Moniliophthora roreri strain MCA 2952 kmer90.96454, whole genome shotgun sequence.